rnacentral:rRNA from 1 species
UGCCAGCAGCCGCGGUAAGACGGAGGGUGCAAACGUUGUUCAGAAUCACUGGGCAUAAAGAGCACGUAGGCGGCUAAGUCAGUCUGGUGUGAAAGCCCCCGGCUCAACCGGGGAAUUGCAUCGGGUACUGCUUGGCUUGAGGACGGUUGGGGUGAGUGGAACUCCUGGUGGAGCGGUGAAAUGCGUAGAUAUCAGGAGGAACACCAGUGGCGAAAGCGACUCACUGGGCCGUCUCUGACGCUGAGGUGCGAAAGUGUGGGGAGCAAACAGGAUUAGAUA